rnacentral:rRNA from 1 species
AUUAUACCCUUAAAUCAACAGGGCCUUUGUCUGUCGGUUUUAGGUUGGGGUGACCGCGGAGCAUAAAUUAACCUCCAAGAUGAACUGGACUAACCCAUUAUCUAAGAUUUACACCUCAAAGAAUCAGCACACUGACAUAAAAUGAUCCGACAUUCGAUCAACGAACCAAGUUACCCUGGGGAUAACAGCGCAAUCUACUUCAAGAGCCCCUAUCGACAAGCAGGUUUACGACCUCGAUGUUGGAUCAGGGUAUCCUAGUGGUGCAACAGCUACUAAAGGUUCGUUUGUUCAACGAUUAAAACCCU